CCUACGGGGGGCAGCAGUGGGGAAUAUUGGACAAUGGGGCAACCCUGAUCCAGCCAUGCCGCGUGUGUGAAGAAGGCCCUCGGGUUGUAAAGCACUUUCAGUGAGGAAGAACGCCUGGUGGUUAAUACCCAUCAGGAAAGACAUCACUCACAGAAGAAGCACCGGCUAACUCCGUGCCAGCAGCCGCGGUAAUACGGAGGGUGCGAGCGUUAAUCGGAAUUACUGGGCGUAAAGCGCGCGUAGGUGGCUUGAUAAGCCGGUUGUGAAAGCCCCGGGCUCAACCUGGGAACGGCAUCCGGAACUGUCAAGCUAGAGUGCAGGAGAGGAAGGUAGAAUUCCCGGUGUAGCGGUGAAAUGCGUAGAGAUCGGGAGGAAUACCAGUGGCGAAGGCGGCCUUCUGGACUGACACUGACACUGAGGUGCGAAAGCGUGGGUAGCAAACAGGAUUAGAUACCCUUGUAGUC
rnacentral:rRNA from 1 species